rnacentral:lncRNA from 1 species
CUGGCCACCACGCUUCAAUACUUUUAUUAUUCUCUCUACGACACUAUUUACGUAUAUAUUCAAGUAUACGUUCUUCAUACACGAUUUAUGUAUACAACAAUCGUUAUGUUUCCCGUGAAAGAGGUAAGAUUGAACUGUCAAAGCAAAAAAGAAGUUAGGAAAAA